AACCUCAUUAGUAUAUUUAGUAUUCCUGUCUUCCAAACAGGGGGUCCGGCAUAGCGGCGGGUGGGGUUA
rnacentral:tRNA from 1 species